rnacentral:rRNA from 1 species
AACGAACGCUGGCGGCAGGCCUAACACAUGCAAGUCGAGCGCCCAGCCAGGGGGGCGGCGGCCGGGUGGGUAACGCGUGGGAAUAUGCCCUUUGCUACGGAAUAUUCUCGGGAGACUGGGGGUAAUACCGUAUACGCCCUCUGGGGGAAAGAUUUAUCGGCGAAGGAUUAGCCCGCGUUGGAUUAGGUAGUUGGUGGGGUCAUGGCCUCCCAAGCCGACGAUCCAUAGCUGGUUUGAGAGGAUGAGCAGCCACACUGGGACUGAGACACGGCCCAGACUCCUACGGGAAGCAGCAGUGGGGAAUCGUAGACAAUGGGGGCAACCCUGAUCUAGCCAUGCCGCGUGAGUGAUGAAGGCCUUAGGGUUGUAAAGCUCUUUCAGCUGGGAAGAUAAUGACGGUACCAGCAGAAGAAGCCCCGGCUAACUCCGUG